GUUAUCUUAUGUAAAUGUUCUUAAAAUUUUCCUAAAUUUCUAUUUUUAUUGCAACCACCGUAGUCUAGUCAAAAGACGCACACAUGGGCCAUCUCACAGCUAUAUCUGGCUCUAUCGUAAAAACCAUAAAGAACCAUUUCCAAAGAGCAAAUACACUAUUAUUACGACUAUUGUGAUCCACUGCCUUGCUGUCAUUACUAUGUUUGUUUUUAAUUCUGUUAAAUCUUCCACAACACUGUUGGAG